AUCACCAACAUAGGUAUAGGAGUUUAAAACUAAUCAUUUCCACAAGUCUUGGUGAAUAUUUGUACACAGGUUGAUUUAUCCAGAAAAUGGAUCAAAUGGCCCAUUGUCAUACACAUCAAGCAAUGAACCAAUGCCAACAAAUGUGCAAACCUGCAAAAACCCACUCAAGAUGAAGUAUAGACCCACUUACCAAACGGGGUGGCCCACCUACCAUGACAGGGGGUUGGCCGAUCCCUAGGGGAGGUCGCCCGACCUGCCAUGUGGACCCCCAUCCUCCACCGCCUCGUGCAUGUUUCUAAGAUCUACACCCUUGAUUCUAAGGCGGUUUUAAGUCGGUUUAUCCAACGGUGACUGAGAGAGUUGACGUGGAUCGAUGACGUGGCACUGACUUGCUCCCUACUCCAUCUCCC
rnacentral:lncRNA from 1 species